UCUUGCAGAGGUCAUGUGUUAUCUCCAUGUCACCAAGUCAAAGAGACGUUUUAUUUUAGCUCUCAUUUUUUCCUGAGUUUCUAGCAGCAUUUGAUGCAAAUGUCUGCUUCCUCCCUCCCAAACACUGGCUUCCUAACCUCUCUGUUUUAUUCCAUUUUCCUAGGUUUUCUUGCGUGACUCUAGAUAGCUUCCUUAAACUCAUUUUCUGGCUCCUUAUUUCUGCAUGAAUUUUCAUGUUGAAUUUCCACCAAGUGCUUAUCCAGACGGAGUGCUUCCAUUAUCAUCUAACUGUUGAUGCCACCUCCUUUGAGAUUUUUGGCUUAGCUUUUACAACCAAGUAUUUAUCAGGAAUUUCCCUUUAUGUAUCUUAAAGAAUCUUAAAUUCACCAGAUCACAGAUAACAAUCUGGAUGUCUCUGAGUCUACUAAUUUGUGCUCCAAACUAGUCUUUCCUUGAAGUUCCAUAGCUAGGAAAAAGUAUGUUCAACUCCAUAACUUCAACAGAUAUUCCAGGAAAAUCUUACUACUCAGUAACAGGGAAGAGUAUGAUCAUUCUUCCAAGCUUUCCUGAGGACUUGAGACUUAUUAACAGAAUCAUUGCACAUUGAAGAAUGCACAAUAUCUACUUUAUCUAGAUGUUAUUAUAUAAUAGCACUGCUAGAAUGAUACAAAAUAUCCUUUCAGUUUGCUGGACAAAAAGGAAGCUCCUUAAAGAAGUAGGUGAACAGUGGGUUCAGGGCACGAAUUUAUUUCACAGUGGAUCCAAAUAGACCACGACUUAUCUGAGGACUAUUUCCAAAGUCCUGCAGACUAUAAAUCCACUUAACACCUGUCAGAAUCUUCACAUGGGUCUUCCUACAGGUAAAGUAAAGCUGUUAUGAAAAGAAGUUCUCAGGUCAAAGUUCCUGGAAAUGUCCUCAGCUCCAAAAUAAGUUUGUCUGGAAUCAAAUUGUCUGGGAGAGUAGCAGUUUCCUGACUCCAAGAAGACUUCUCAGCGCCAAGGUGGGGAUUUCUAUCACACCUUCAUUUAACUUGCUCGUUCAGCUGGAAGAAAAGCCAGAUGAAUUUUAAAGAAUGACUUGGAUUAUCACAAAUUUAAUCAGCAGUGAUAACAAUCACAGAUGCUGUACCAGAUGUGCUUCCUUCAUUGGAAUAAAUCAACAUAGCCUCUGGCUGCGCAUCUGCACCAUGCACCAUAGACUGAGUAAACACUCUUUGUAAUACCCAUCAAUAAAGAUAAUCAGACACAGUGUACCUUCUCUUCAGGGAAGCCGUAAACCUGUACCUUUUGAUCACUGGGUUAUACCAAACCUCCUGCUCUGUGAAACAAUAUAGUCUUGAGGAAACUUGAUUAUUCAGAUAUCCUACAGAAUCUCUUGCUAGUCUGUUAUCUUGGUAGCUUCAUGCUAAGUGGACUUGUGUGGAAGUGUUUACAAGAAAUCUGAUUGGCAACACAGGGGUCAUUGUUAUAGGUGUUCAGAUAUCUGCAUAUUGACACACAGACUUCUGGGAAUACAGCGAAGUGUUCUUCAAAUUAAGACACCAAUUAGCUUAGCAAGCCUGUAAUAGGUCUCUCAAUUUGGAUGCAAUAUGUAUCAUGUUGGAUUUUGCGGCCACUACAGCCCAGCUUUGAAAAGAAUGUGAACAAAUAAGAGUCACUAGAGACCAAGACAUCAUCAAAAUUGUCUUUGACCUUAUUUUCUAGCUCUCUCUGUGACACUGAGGGAUGGCAGGGAGAGAGAUGUUUUUUAAAGCCUCUAGAAAGCUCCAAUAGGAAAAUUGUAUCUAGAUCUAAGGGUGUUGAGAAAGUCCACAGCUACUCCUGAUGACAAUAUUUUACAUUCAAAAAGUACACCUUGUUUUUCUCUCAGGCUAUGGUAGACACUGAGUAUCUGAUCAGAGGAUAAUGGUCAUUAUGUGACCCAAGCUGUACAUACUGGCUCUAUAUGAUCUACUACAUCCUAAAAUGUGAUUUUGAAUAUGCAGAGAACAUUUCAUUACAAAUGAUGGGAGACUGGAUCUAAGCAAAUACAAGGGGCACAAAUAAAUUUUUCAUUACGGACUCUCAUCUUGGACUUGUUGCUAUGUGUUUGUUCAGAUUCCUAGGCAAUCUCUUCCUAUGGAUUAUCUACCUCUUAUAUAAGUGGUUCCAAGAGGAAGAAAAGUAUAAGGCUGACCUACAGAGAGAUCAUCACAGUAUGUCUCCAUCAGCCAAAAGUUAACGGACCAGCCUUGGAAGCUAAGAGGUAGGAUUUCCAGCAGUGCACCCACUCAUGUCUAUAUCCACAGAAGAGGAAGUGCCUUGAUGCUCAGCUCUUCUUGGACUUUUGGUAGUGGUUGAUCCUCUUCCAUGAAUGUAACAUCAGUGGGUGUUGGUUAAACACACAGAGGGUUCAUAACUAUUCAUGUUUGUUUUUAGUGCUUCAUUAUCCCCUGUUGAGUCCCUUUCACCUCCUCCACUGCUAUAAAUUUCUUUUCAUUAACUCAGUCAAUUAUCCUUCCUUACUGUAUAUCAAGGCCAUCUGUUUGGGCCAGAACACCAACUGAUAUACUUUAUAAACAGCUCUUGAAUCUGUCUAAUUUUCUGAAUCUCUAUUAUUAUCAGGCUAGUCUAAUAUCAGCAUCAACUCGAUUCUUACUACUGUUUCUAAAAGUAUAUACGAAGUUACCCUCACACUAUGAGCACAUUUUGUACACAACUGGCACUUCCAAGCACCAGUUCCUCCAAGGCCUGUGGGACACCACAUAUCUGUUGCUCUUUCCAAGAGAGUGAGUGUGGACCCUGAAAUCAUCAGCUGGAUUUGCAGUGUGGCUUGCGCCAGCCAGUGGAAAUCUAUAGGCUGUAACUGUCAGGGAUGCUUGGUGUGCUUGUAGGAGUAAUGUGUCCACCUGUGCUUCUGCAUUCACAUGAGAAGAACACGCUCUGGCCAUGCAGAAUGAGAAGCACACAGAGCUGACCGGAAACUACCCUGGAGCAUGCAGCCAGAGCCAGCUGACUGGAGUGAAGUUCAUCACAUGUGCUGGUUUUUAAAAGUGAAUGAUUAAGAAUUACCCAACUUCUAUGAAUUUAGGAGCAAAUCAAUUAAAAUGAGGUAAUAAUAACCAUGAAACAAUUUUGAAAUAUUUGAAAAACCUGCCGCUAAGAGGACCGGGUUAAAUUGUGCAUGAUUUGUCAGAAAAGUUACACAGAGAAAAAAAUGCUAAUAGCAAUCUUGUUUUUUUUUAAAAAAAGAAUUUCGUGAUUUCUUCAUAUUCGAAGCAACUUAAUAGAGCAAAAAGAAUAAGGCUUUGAAAUAGCACGGGCGUGGCCUUGACCUUAAAUCUCGGCUUAGCCAGCUGUAAUUGUGAGACACUGUGGUACUGAGCCUCUUCUCUGAGCUUCUGCUUCCUUUUCUGUCUCACACCCUCAUCUUGCUCAUCUCCGAAGGCCACUGGGAACAUGUCCGGAAUAUGUAUGUAAAACUUUUGCCGUUAGUUGUUAAUUUAAAAAUAGACAUUUUAAAAGAAUAAAAGCAGAGGUGAGGAGAGGAGAAAGGAAGUUGUUUCCAUCAAAUAAAAUAAUGAAAAAUUAUUUUCCUUUUGUGAGAGCUUUACAGCAUGAACAAACUGGAAGAGCUUACACCUCCCCAGACAGUAGUGAUAAAAUUCACAUACAUUAUUGAGCAGGACUAUCUGGUAGUAGCCACCCCUUAACCUACCUUUUAAAAUGCUUCCCAAGCAUUGUGACUAGCAAUCAAAUUCAGGCAUAACGAUCCAGACUCAAUGAGGACUAUGCCACGUUCUUGUAGGAUGUUUUAAGGCAAUUCAGCAGAAAGUCGGUUUUAAGAAUUGUGGAGAACUGUUGUACUCCAAGGUAAAGUUUCUGAGAAGCUUCGAGGAAACCAGGCCAACACUUUCCACAUGUAUAAUUCUGAAAAUAAGACAAAAGAGGCUGUUUGGAACCCAAAGUAGGAACCCAAAACUCUGAUUUUGAUAAAAAGACAAGAAGUAUAACCAGAAUGAGUCUGCUUCAAGCAUCCAUCAGGCUGGGUCUUCACACAGCUGCAAAACAUCAAAGCAUUUAUUUGAAUGAUUUAGGAUUGAAGAAUGAAAAGCUUCUGGGCUGCUAUUCUGAUUGUCUCAACAAGUACUCUAGAAAAAUGGUCUAACCCUUGACUGCUUUAUCAAAGGCAAAGCAUUUCACUUUACAGGAGAAAUGACAUUGCUGGCAAACAUUAACAGCCUCACAUUCGUGUUUACUGAGCCGCCUUCUCUGCUCUGGUUUGGUAGCCCGUCUCACCUGGAGGGUGUGCCAUCAUUUCUGUUCUCCGCAGAAAGCGAGAGGCUUGCCUUGUGGUUGGCUGUACUCACCUCCACGUGGCAGCAUGCGUGUUCUAGAAGCAAAGUCGUGGGACUCCAAGAUGAAGAGCCCUGGAUUUUGAGACAGACUGAACCACAGCUGAUUUGUGGCUUUUCACAAGCCGCCUCAACAAUUUUCAGCAAAGUUUACUUCUUGGUAGAAAAAGUGGAUAGGUUGACAUCUCUCCUGUCCCAUGAUCACGCUGUCCCAUGGAGCUGCUCUGUGAAAAACUGAAGUGACACCCAGGAGCUUGUUGUAGUAGUUCUGGGUGGCUGUUAGCAGUCCACAUGGCCAUGUGGAUUUGCAUUGCAGGAGCCAUUGCAAUCCUAAGAGUCCUGUUUAUUCAGUGGUACCUAACUACAUGCCAAGAAGGAGUGAUCUACAUUCCCCUCAGGGACUCAAAAUAGAUGCCAUCUAGUCCCACUUACGGCUAAUAGAAAGAUAUCAACAAAAGUGAAUUCCAACUCACUUUCCUCAGGUUAGCUACAAAAAGCAUUGGACAGAGACCAUAACACUUGAGUGGCCGUUCAUUCAACAAAUACUGGGUGUCAAGUAUACUCCAGCUUGGUUUAGGAACCGGGCAGCCAGAAAUAACAUGCGUACACACAAUGUUCUCCUUCCAGGAAAAUUCUGCCUCCUGGGCAAAGCUGAUGGGUAGCAUGUAAACGAGCCGUGAGACGCUGUGCCGCAAACCCGGGGCUGCUGCAGCAGUGAGAGCGGGGACGUGGAAUUCACGCUUGGGGAUCAGAGAGAGUGGCACAGGCUCACCGGGGCUGCUAACCUGACGGGACUCGGGUGUGGCUGGGGAGGGAGGCAGACGCAGCCUCGUGGACCAAGGGCAAGGCUUUCUGUGUGCCACGAGGGAGUGGGAACCUUGCUCUCCUGUUGCUCCUAAAGUGGAAUGGGCCACCAGUGGGUGGGUGGAUGUACACAAUGAGAUUUUGUUUAAUAAACUGACUCCCAUUGGAAUGUGACAAGCUGAAGGGGCAAGUGACUUGAACCAGGAGCUGAUGGGUGACCCGCAUCACUGAAGACAGGGAAGGUCGUGUGAUCAGGGUGUGAACACACAUGGACUCCCGACCUGGAUGGCGCUGACUCAAAACUUGUCUUCAGACUCCACGAGGCUGUAAGACAUUUAUUAAACUGCCCUCUGCCCAAGACUUCUCAUUUGUAAAAUGAAGAAAGAAAUAGAUACAGUGAUAGUUUAAUGAGUAAUAAAUACUUAGGUAGAGUAAUCAGUAGCCUACUGAGUAUAGUAUACUUAGAUAAAUAAAACCGUAACAGCAGUGAUGAAGUACACACAUGAUUGCCCUGGCUGGAAUGGCCCCCUUCCCAAUGCAUACUCCAUGGUUAUUUGUAGAAGUCCUAACUUCCAGUGUGACUGUUUUAGAGACUAGUAAUUUAAGGAGUAACCAAAGUUAAUUGAAUCAUAAGCGUAAGGGUCUGAUAGGACCAGUGCCCUUGUAAGAAGAUAAAGAAGCACUCGACAUGUCUUCUUUUCUGCAUGAACAAAGAAAAGGCCACAUGAGGAUGUGGCAGAAAGGUGGCUGUUGCAACUCAAGGACAGAGCCCCCCCCAAACCUGACUCUGGUAGCCCCUUAGGUAUGGACUUUUGCUUAAGCCCAUCACUCAGCCCUUGCAAACUAAAACAGGCUGUAUGAGACAUGUCUUCUCUUAUUAAGAGGGCAAUCAAAACAUAAACAGAAAAGGUAGGCCUGAGUUGAAGAGGACCUCUAAUUUUUAUACUAAUGAUUUUUAUGUCAAUAAAAAGUCAAAGCUGAGAGCUGCCCCUGACUAAUGACUUGAGCUUCUAUUAGUUAUGCAACCUCAGGAAAGUCCAGGGAACCGGGUCUCAGCACCUUCAUUGAUGAGGUAUGAGUAUGGGAAACAGCACUUGAGAAACUCUCACCUCCCUUUUAAUACCAUGCUGUAUAAUAUUUACAUUUACUUAUAUACUACUAGCAAAACCCAUUCAUCAAAUGUUUUAAAAUAGUCAGUGUUUAUUGUGUCUGUUAUAAAUCCUAGCCACUAGCCAAUUAAAUAGUUAGCAUCAGAAGUUGAAAUGAUUGAAUAUUUUACUGUCAUAAUUCUUCCUUAUUAUGGAAAUAAUUCCAGAUUUCUUACCACUCACUUAAGUAAUAAAUGAUCAUAUUUUCAUAACCCAAA